UACGGAGGAUGCAAGCGUUAUCCGGAAUUAUUGGGCGUAAAGAGUCCGUAGGUGGUUAUUCAAGUCGAUUGUUAAAGAGCGGGGCUUAACCCCGUAGAAGCAGUGGAAACUGAAUAACUAGAGAGAGGUAGGGGUAGAGGGAAUUCCCGGUGUAGCGGUGAAAUGCGUAGAGAUCGGGAAGAACACCAGUGGCGAAAGCGCUCUACUGGGCCUCAUCUGACACUGAGGGACGAAAGCUAGGGGAGCGAAAGGG
rnacentral:rRNA from 1 species